AUUGAACGCUAGCGGGAGGCUUUACACAUGCAAGUCGAGCGAGUGGCGGACGGGUGAGUAAUAUAUCGGAACGUGCCCAGUAGCUGGGGAUAACUACUCGAAAGAGUGACUAAUAACGCAUACUAUUGCAGCGGACGAUGUCGGAUUAGCUAGUUGGUGGGGUAAAGGCGCACCAAGGCCACGAACCGUAGCUGGUUUGAGAGGACGACCAGGCACACUGGAACUGAGACACGGCCCAGACUCCUACGGGAGGCAGCAGUGGGGAGUAUUGGACAAUGGGGGAAAGCCUGAUCCAGCCAUCCCGCGUGUGUGAGAAGGCCUUCGGGUUGUAAAGUACUUUUGGCAGAGAAGCGGUAUCUGCAGAAUAAGCACCGGCUAACUACGUGCCAGCCGCCGCGGUAAUUC
rnacentral:rRNA from 1 species